rnacentral:rRNA from 1 species
CACAAUGGGCGAAAGACCUGAUGCAGCAACGCCGCGUGAGUGAUGAAGGCCUUCGGGUUGUAAAGCUCUGUCUUUUGGGACGAUAAUGACGGUACCAAAGGAGGAAGCCACGGCUAACUACGUGCCAGCAGCCGCGGUAAUACGUAGGUGGCAAGCGUUGUCCGGAUUUACUGGGCGUAAAGGAUGCGUAGGUGGAUAUUUAAGUGGGAUGUGAAAUACCCGAGCUCAACUUGGGUGCUGCAUUCCAAACUGGAUAUCUAGAGUGCAGGAGAGGUAAGUGGAAUUCCUAGUGUAGCGGUGAAAUGCGUAGAGAUUAGGAAGAACACCAGUGGCGAAGGCGACUUACUGGACUGUAACUGACACUGAGGCAUGAAAGCGUGGGGAGCAAACAGGAUUAGAUACCCUGGUAGUCCACGCCGUAAACGAUGGGUACUAGGUGUAGGAGGGUCCAACCUUCUGUGCCGCCGUUAACACAAUAAGUACCCCGCCUGGGGAGUACGGUCGCAAGAUUA